CUAGUCAUAGUUUGCCCCAUCAAAAGGAUUUUAAUUUGAUUUGGUUUGUUUUCUUAUACAUGCUUCAUUACACAGAGAGUCAUUUUAUCCUGUAUGUGUGUGUUCGUAGCACAGGGUCAUGCCUCAGAAUACACAGUGACCUUCCUGGAGGACUCUUUGAAUCAUUUAAAACACUCCGGGGACCAAACGAAAACGUCCGACAGCCUCUGAACACAAUUUCCUGCUGAUGGUUGAAGCUGAUGAUACCUGCUUCACUGCACAACUCAUACCAGUGGGACUGAAGAGCAGCACUACUGCUAAACAUUUACUGGCCAGAGCUCAGAUUAAUCGGCACUGAUUACAGAUUUCUGGAACUAUCGGUUAUCUGCAAAAACCCACAACAAUAGUUUUUCCCCGUUGCGUCCGGUGCUGGAGAAGCUGGGAAGGGUCCACCCUCUAGUGGCGAAAUAAAAUCUACCACUUCACUGAUGCCUUGUGGUGUUUGUUUUGACAUGGGAGACUACACUCUGCAUGGAGCAGACCACUUCAUCAACGUCGAAAAUCCCCUCGCCUGGACUCAUAGUCUGAGCCGCUUCACCACCGAGUACAGCCGAAUACUACUGCUAUCUGUGAAUAUCGCUACUCUACAUACAACUGUACUGAAUAAAAAACAAUGUGGUAUUUCACUGUUAUUAUGAAGCUCGAGUCUGGAGAAGUAGGAAUCAAUGCAAGUGUAACACCAUGUGAACUGUCUAUUGAAGCGUUUUCCCCCUCAUUUUACUUGAGAAUAUGGACCAACUAAAACUUUAUUUAUUUGAUGCACAUCAGUUGAAAAUGAAAUGCUCUUUUUUUUUUUUUUUUUUUUUUUUUUUAACAGCCAGGAUAGGAAUGUUCUAUGCAAUAAUCUAAUAGUGCUGAAUGGUUUAUGUAUUUAUUGUGUCCUCUAGUGGACCAAGGAAACAACGUAAAUGUAAAAAUCAGCUGACUUUAAAAUUUGAAUAUCAGUUCAUUUGUAUUAAUAUUUAUAUAAUUGUUUCAUUUAAAAAGUACAAUACAUUUUCAUGGUUCAGUCAUUACUGUUUAUUUUUGUAAUAAAGUUCAGCACUAUUUUACUUUGAGUGUUAUUUUUUCAUUCAGUAUCAAUUUUAAAAACUAUCGGUAGAUUAAUCAUUAUUGGCAGGUACUGCCCAACUUAGUUAUCGGUAAAAUCCACUAUCAGUCAACCUCUAAUAAUUAUAUAAUAAAAAUAAGAAUUUGAAGUGCUACUGCAUCAAAAAUGCUAUGUAAAAAAAAAAAGAAAAAAAAAAAAGAAUUACCAAACCCUUGCAUAGGUUUGUUAAAGAUUUGUAUGUGAAAUUCUUUCAUAUUUACAGUGUUUUCUGAAGUUAAUAUAUUUAAUAAUGUAUGAUUGUACCUUUAAAUAUUCAUGUAUUUACACAUUUAUUACUCUUACUACAUUACAUUUUGUUGAAUGUUUUUAUAUGCACGUGUGCGAUUUACAUUGAGUUUACAUUGAUAUGUAUAACAAGCACUAAAUUGGUACUGUCUCUUUAAGAGAAGUGUUUACAGUUGAAUAAGCACAGCACACAUUAAUAAGAGAUAAGUUUCAUGCUUGUUUUUCCCCUCAUCUGUGCAAUCUAUGAUUAGAAAUAAUGUUUCUUUUUAUCUUUUUGAUCACCAACUGACUGUA